CAUAGCGACUAUCGUGGCAUAUCAAUAAGCGGAGGAAAAGAAACUAACAAGGAUUCCCCUAGUAACGGCGAGUGAAGCGGGAAGAGCUCAAAUUUGAAAUCUUAAAGGGUUUCUCCUUUACGAAUUGUAGUUUAAAGAAGUGUUUUCUGUUGGAGUUUCGGUAAAAGUUCUUUGGAAUAGGACAUCAUAGAGGGUGAGAAUCCCGUAUUUGACCGUUACUUUCCAGCUGUGUGAUACACUUUCAAAGAGUCGGAUUGUUUGGGAAUGCAGUCCAAAAUGGGUGGUAAAUUUCAUCUAAAGCUAAAUAUUGGCGAGAGACCGAUAGCGAACAAGUACCGUGAGGGAAAGAUGAAAAGAACUUUGAAAAGAGAGUUAAACAGUACGUGAAAUUGUCAAAAGGGAAGCGUUUGACACCAGUGUUGUUUAGUUGAAAAUCAAUUUCAAUAAUUUUUGAUUUUAGAAGUAGUAUUGACUUCAUCAGCUUGCUGCUUUUCUCUCCGAAAAUUAUUGAAUGCACUUUUCAGUUAACAAGUCAACAUCAAUUUCUUUUGUUGUAAAAGGGUAAGAGGAAGGUGGCUUACGCUUCGGCGUCAAGUGUCUAUAGCCUUUUACCUCUGCAAUCGGAGAGAUUGAGGUACAUGCAGCGUAGACUCUUCGGGGUUAGAUACACUUUAAUGCUAAGCUAUAGCCUUGUAUAGACAACUUGUUGACUAUGCUCAGUCAUGUAGCUUACUCGCUUAGAUGCUAUUUUACCUACGCUUAGGAUGUUGAUAUGCAUGACUGAUAUU
rnacentral:rRNA from 1 species